rnacentral:lncRNA from 1 species
CAGGGCCUCUGCCUCUGCCGCCCCCACCUGCAUGGCCGCCGCUGCCAGGAACUCCAGUCUGGGUACUUCUGCGCCACCCUCGACCAGGCCACUGCCGAAGCAGAGCAUGGCCGCAGCCUCCAGCCUGCUGACCCCCAGCUGCCUGGAGCCCCCUGGCCUGCUCCCCGCUACUGUACACCAGCCCCAGGGACCUCCCCUGGUUGGCUCGGGCCCCGACUUUGGAGACAGCGUGACCCUGACUGUGUCCUCCAACGUGCCAGGCAAGCCCGGUACAGCCACCAGCUGCCCAGGACCCCAGGGAAGCCCCCGCCCCUGCAUCAGGGAUCUGGCUUUGCACUGGGGAGGGGCUCAGACUUCGCACGUGUGGUGGACGGGGCUGGCCUCUCUCUGCUGGCACCCACAGUGCCUCGCGCCCUGGACUAUGACAUCGUCCUACGCUAUGAGACCCAGGCACCUGAAGUGUGGCAGGCAUUAGUCCGGGUCCGUGCCCAGUCACAGCCCCGUAGUACCCGCUGUGCCCGUCCGUUGCCCUCAGAGCAGCUGUUCCAGGCGACCUUGACCCAUGCGCGCAGGUAGGGGGAACCCUGUGACCCCCAAACCAAGACUCUAUUAUGUAGCCA